CUUGAUGCCUCGUUCCCGCACUCCUGUUUGCCUGACUGCUGCUCUUCGUUUACCGACCGAGGCCUGUCCACUGACCACCCUCGUAAGCCUGCCGUACUAUUACUUCCGAUUGUUUGGACUGCCUGCCUGAUCCCAGACCUUGGACCGAAUAAAGGUUUCCUCUGCACUGUCUCCUUGUCUCUGGAGUCGUGCAUUUGGGUCCACCCUCGAGCCCUGUUCAUGACAGAAGCCUUUCGCACCUGACUUUAGAACCCACACAAGCAUGGGAGAACAUGCAAACUCCACUGGGGUAGGGCCAGGGUUUGAACCUCCGUCCUCAGAACUGUGAGGCAGAUGCGGUAACUAGUUGAUCUCCAAUCGACCCAGUAGUGAUGGGACAAACAACACAGGUGUGUCACCACUGGGCCCAGCGCACCAAGGGGAAAUCCUGUAUUGUUUUCUUUGGGGGGGGGG